rnacentral:tRNA from 1 species
GCACAGGUAGUUCAGUGGUAGAACUCCUGGCCGGUAAGCGGAAGCCCCGGGUUCGAUUCCCGGUCUGUGCA